GAUGAACGCUGGCGGCGUGCCUAAUACAUGCAAGUCGAGCGAACCUCUUCGGAGGUUAGCGGCGGACGGGUGAGUAACACGUGGGCAACCUACCUUGUAGAUGGGGAUAACAUCGAGAAAUCGGUGCUAAUACCGAAUAACACUUUUCUCCACAUGGAGAAAUGUUAAAAGUUGGCUUUUGCUAACACUACAAGAUGGGCCCGCGGCGCAUUAGCUAGUUGGUGAGGUAACGGCUCACCAAGGCGACGAUGCGUAGCCGACCUGAGAGGGUGAUCGGCCACACUGGGACUGAGACACGGCCCAGACUCCUACGGGAGGCAGCAGUAGGGAAUCUUCCGCAAUGGACGAAAGUCUGACGGAGCAACGCCGCGUGAGUGAUGAAGGCCUUCGGGUCGUAAAACUCUGUUGUUAGGGAAGAACAAGUACCGUUAGAAUAGGGCGGUACCGUGACGGUACCUAACCAGAAAGCCACGGCUAACUACGUGCCAGCAGCCGCCGUAACAC
rnacentral:rRNA from 1 species